GUCAAUGUCCAUGCUACCCUGAACAAGCCCGAUCCUGUCUGAUCUCAGAAGCUAAGCAGGGUCAGGCCUGGUUAGUACUUGGAUGAAAGACCAGGUGCUGUAAGCU
rnacentral:rRNA from 1 species